rnacentral:rRNA from 1 species
UAGGGAAUCUUCGGCAAUGGACGAAAGUCUGACCGAGCAACGCCGCGUGAGUGAAGAAGGUUUUCGGAUCGUAAAACUCUGUUGUUAGAGAAGAACAAGGACGUUAGUAACUGAACGUCCCCUGACGGUAUCUAACCAGAAAGCCACGGCUAACUACGUGCCAGCAGCCGCGGUAAUACGUAGGUGGCAAGCGUUGUCCGGAUUUAUUGUGCGUAAAGCGAGCGCAGGCGGUUUCUUAAGUCUGAUGUGAAAGCCCCCGGCUCAACCGGGGAGGGUCAUUGGAAACUGGGAGACUUGAGUGCAGAAGAGGAGAGUGGAAUUCCAUGUGUAGCGGUGAAAUGCGUAGAUAUAUGAAGGAACACCAGUGGCGAAGGCGGCUCUCUGGUCUGUAACUGACGCUGGGGCUCGAAAGCGUGGGGAGCAAACAGG